rnacentral:misc_RNA from 1 species
GAUGAAGAACGUAGUGAAAUGCGAUAAUUAAUGUGAAUUGCAGAAUUCAGUGAAUCAUCGAGUCUUUGAACGCACAUUGCGCCCCCUGGUAUUCCGGGGGGCAUGCCUGUCCGAGCGUCAUUGCUGCCCUCAAGCACGGCUUGUGUGUUGGGCUUCCGUCCCUGGCAACGGGGACGGGCCCAAAAGGCAGUGGCGGCACCAUGUCUGGUCCUCGAGCGUAUGGGGCUUUGUCACCCGCUCCCGUAGGUCCAGCUGGCAGCUAGCCUCGCAACCAAUCUUUUUAACCAGGUUGACCUCGGAUCAGGUAGGGAUACCCGCUGAACUUAAGCAUAUCAAUAAGCGGAAGGA